rnacentral:misc_RNA from 1 species
UGCUCCGAGCAGCGACAGCACCUCCGUCUCGCCUCUUCAUUCGUCGGCACGAGCUCGUUCUCGUCCGCGGUCGGUUAUCCUGUGCUGCAUACCUAUCGAGAGGGCAUUCUAUCGGCUGAAACGGUCCCAUCUCCGUCCUGCGUCGCCGCUCCGUGCGGGCGGUCGAUGCGGGGUGGAUCUCAAGGCUGGCGUCGUGUCUCGCACCGCAUCCACCGAUUUUCGGUGUUUGGGCAGGCGAACCACGUCGCGUCGCCCGUCGCCUCGGGUACGGAACAUCAUGUGGGUACGCGGCCUCGGCCGCCGAUCGCCACAAUGAUGCGUUCUACGCUUUUUGCGAACGACGGUCGGCUCGGUCUCUGCCCGUGCACUCGUGCAUCG